rnacentral:rRNA from 1 species
AUUGAACGCUGGCGGCAGGCCUAACACAUGCAAGUCGAACGGUAACAGAAAGCAGCUUGCUGCUUUGCUGACGAGUGGCGGACGGGUGAGUAAUGUCUGGGAAACUGCCUGAUGGAGGGGGAUAACUACUGGAAACGGUAGCUAAUACCGCAUAACGUCGCAAGACCAAAGAGGGGGACCUUCGGGCCUCUUGCCAGCGGAUGUGCCCAGAUGGGAUUAGCUAGUAGGUGGGGUAACGGCUCACCUAGACGACGAUCCCUAGCUGGUCUGAGAGGAUGACCAGCCGCACUGGAACUGAGACACGGUCCAGACUCCUACGGGAGGCAGCAGUGGGGAAUAUUGCACAAUGGGCGCAAGCCUGAUGCAGCCAUGCCGCGUGUAUGAAGAAGGCCUUCGGGUUGUAAAGUACUUUCAGCGAGGAGGAAGGUGUUGAGGUUAAUAACCGCAGCAAUUGACGUUACUCGCAGAAGAAGCACCGGCUAACUCCGUGCCAGCCGCCGCGGUAA